rnacentral:rRNA from 1 species
UACGUAGGGGGCAAGCGUUGUCCGGAUUUAUUGGGCGUAAAGAGCGUGUAGGCGGCCAGGUAGGUCUGCUGUGAAAACUCGAGGCUUAACCUCGAGCUGUCGGCGGAAACCAUCUGGCUAGAGUCCGGAAGAGGAGAAUGGAAUUCCCGGUGUAGCGGUGAAAUGCGCAGAUAUCGGGAAGAACACCCGUGGCGAAGGCGGGUCUCUGGACAGUUCCUGACGUGAGGCACGAAGGCCAGGGGAGCAAACGGGG